GAUCGAGUUUGAUCCUGGCUCAGAAUGAACGCUGGCGGCAGGCUUAACACAUGCAAGUCGAGGGGUAUAGUUCUUCGGAGCUAGAGACCGGCGCACGGGUGCGUAACGCGUAUGCAAUCUACCUUUUACAGAGGGAUAGCCCAGAGAAAUUUGGAUUAAUACCUCAUAGUAUGUGAGAAUCGCAUGGUUUUCACAUUAAAGUCACAACGGUAAAAGAUGAGCAUGCGUCCCAUUAGCUUGUUGGUAAGGUAACGGCUUACCAAGGCAACGAUGGGUAGGGGUCCUGAGAGGGAGAUCCCCCGACACUGGUACUGAGACACGGACCAGACUCCUACGGGGAGGCAGCAGUGAGGAAUAUUGGACAAUGGGGCGCAAGCCUGAUCCCGGCCCAUGCCGCGUGCAGGAUGACGGUCCUAUGGAUUGUAAACUGCUUUGUACAGGAGAACACUCCCGUCGUGAGGAGCUUGACGGUACUGUAA
rnacentral:rRNA from 1 species